rnacentral:ncRNA from 1 species
UGAUAACCGAUGACGGAGAAAAGUAGUUAAGGCCCACAUGGCCAGAGAGGAAACGCCUGAGGCUGCGAGCGUUUCUCCAUGAUGGCUUAACGAAAGACACUCCAUAGGUUUCCCUUUGAACGCGCUUUGCGCCAGUAAGGGGGAACGCGCGCCACGCGUUAGCGGCGACAAGAGGAAGCUGUAUGCUUCAAUUAGGGUGGCACCGCGGGAAUGACGCUCUCGUCCCUAUC